rnacentral:tRNA from 1 species
GGCUCUGUAGCUCAGUCGGUAGAGCAGAGGACUGAAAAUCCUCGUGUCAGCGGUUCAAUCCCGCUUGGAGCCA